rnacentral:rRNA from 1 species
CCUACGGGAGGCAGCAGUGGGGAAUCUUGCGCAAUGGGCGAAAGCCUGACGCAGCAACGCCGCGUGAGGGACGAAGGUUUUCUGAAUUGUAAACCUCUUUCAGCAGGGAAGAUAAUGACGGUACCUGCAGAAGAAGCACCGGCUAACUACGUGCCAGCAGCCGCGGUGAUACGUAGGGUGCAAGCGUUGUCCGGAUUUAUUGGGCGUAAAGAGCUCGUAGGCGGUUUGGUAAGUCGGUUGUGAAAUCCCCAGGCUCAACCUGGGGCCUGCAUUCGAUACUGCCAUGACUAGAGUUUGGUAGGGGACCACGGAAUUCCUGGUGUAGCGGUGGAAUGCGCAGAUAUCAGGAGGAACACCAGUAGCGAAGGCGGUGGUCUGGGCCAAUACUGACGCUGAGGAGCGAAAGCGUGGGGAGCAAACAGGAUUAGAUACCCUGGUAGUCCACGCCGUAAACGGUGGGCACUAGGUGUGGGGACUAUUCAACGGUUUCCGCGCCGACGCUAACGCAUUAAGUGCCCCGCCUGGGGAGUCGGCCGCAAGGCUAAACUCAAAUGAAUUGACGGCUGGAGACGNGCGAGACGACGACGAGGGAGAGG